CAAUAGCGUAUAUUAAAGUUGUUGCGGUUAAAAGGCUCGUAGUCGGAUUUCUGCUGAAGGCAGCCGGUCCAUGUUCGACAUGCGCAUCUGGAUUGACUUCGGCAUCCUCUCAGAUAACGAUUCUGUGCUUGAUUGCAUGGAGCGGAGUUUGAGACUUUUACUUUGAGGAAAAUAGAGUGCUCACGGCAGGCAAUCGCCCUGAAUAUAUUAGCAUGGAAUAAUAAAAUAGGAUCUUGGUUCUAUUUUGUUGGUUUCUAGAACGAAGAUAAUGAUUAAUAGGGACAAUUGGGGGCAUUCGUAUUAACGCGUCAGAGGUGGAAUUCUUGGAUUGCGUUACGACGAACUACUGCGAAAGCAUUUGCCAAGGAUGUUUUCAUUGA
rnacentral:rRNA from 1 species